UCUAGUUUUAAUAACUAACACCAACUUCUUUUAUUAAACAAAAACCAAUACAAAAUUAAAAACUAACUUCAUCAAAAACCAAGUCUCUAAGCAAUGGAUGUCUUGGCUCCUCACACGAUGAAGAACGUGGCAUAAUGUGUUAAGUAACCGGAGUUGCAAACAUCAUGACAGGUUAAUCUUUGAAUGCAAAUUGCGCUAAACUCGAUCUCGGUCGAGAAGCAUGGGUGUGACAGUACUACAUCUUUUAUAAUAAUUCUUAUUCUAAGCGAAUAAGUAAAUAAUAUAUAAGACAAACAACACGUAGUCUGCCAUACGCAGGAAGACCCGCUGAACUGAAGCAUCUCAUUAAGCGG
rnacentral:rRNA from 1 species